AUGACAGUGACCCAGAGCAGCCGAGAGGCUGGUCUUCCCAUGGCUCCCCCUCAUCACUUCCUGAAACCUGCUGUAGACUGCCCCAUUUCUACGACUCAACUGCAGCAUCAUACUGGAAGUCUUAUUCAUGCAACCAACGUGUCUCCUCCUGAUUGGAGGUUAGAUAUUGGUGGUGGGGGGGCCCGGGUGGCGGCAGGCAGGUACCCCGCGCUAGGGCUUCCCCUCGCCUCUAGCUUUCCAGCGCAGCAGACGCCGCAGAGCGGCCUGGCCCUGCAGCGGAGCCUGCACGUGACUGCAGCCCCAGCUCUCCUGCUCAUUCCCACCGUGGUGAAGCAGACGGGUGGCCGGGAGCGCGCCUGUGACACCUACUCGUGGCUGCUGCGGGAGCGCAUCGUGUGCGUCAUGGGCCAGAUAGAUGACAGCGUUGCCAGCCUGGUUAUUGCACAGCUCCUCUUCCUGCAAGCCGAGAGCAACAAGAAGCCCAUCCACAUGUACAUCAACAGCCCUGGUGGUGUGGUGACCGCGAGCCUGGCCAUCUACGUCACAACGCAGUAUAUCCUCAACCCAAUCUGCACAAGGUGCAUGGACCAGGCCUCCAGCAUGGACUCCCUGCUUCUCGCCGCCGGCAGCCCCGGCAUACGCCACUCGCUUCUCAACUCCGGCAUCAUGAUUCACCAGCCCUCAGGGGGCGCCAGGGGCCAAGCCACAGACAUUGCCAUCCAGGCAGAGGAGAUCAUGAAGCAAGAAACAGCUCUACAGCAUCUACGCCAAGCACACCAAACAGAGCCUUCAGGUGAUCGAGUCUGCCAUGGAGAGGGACCGCUACAUGAGCCCCAUGGAGGCCCAGGAGUUCAGCAUCUUAGACAAGGUUCUCGUCCACCCUCCCCAGGAUGGUGAAGAUGAGCCCACGCUGGUGGAGAAGGAGCCUGUAGUAGCAGCGCCAUGGCAGACCCUGUCCCAGCAAGCACCUAAGAGCUGGGCCUCGUCUCCAGAAUCAUACGGAGGGGCCAGAGGCCGGCCAGACCCCCAGCUGGGCCCUGCUUACCCCUCGCUGCUGAACCUGGAGGGGCCCCUUGAGGAACUUUGAAUUUGCAAGGGUGCCCCCUAUGGAUGGGGCAUUCCGGCUGAGACACUGUGAUUUUAAAUUAAAUCUUUAUGGUCUUU